UACGGAGGGUGCGAGCGUUGUCCGGAAUCACUGGGCGUAAAGGGCGCGUAGGCGGCCCGGUAAGUAGGGGGUGAAAUCUUGCGGCUUAACCGCAAGGCUGCCUUCUAAACUGCCAGGCUCGAGCACAGUAGAGGCAGGUGGAAUUCCCGGUGUAGCGGUGGAAUGCGUAGAUAUCGGGAGGAACACCAGUGGCGAAGGCGGCUCUCUGGGCAGAUACCGACGCUGAGACGCGAAAGGGUGGGAAGCAAACAGG
rnacentral:rRNA from 1 species